AUUGAACGCUGGCGGCAGGCUUAACACAUGCAAGUCGAGCGGUAGCACAGGGGAGCUUGCUCCCUGGGUGACGAGCGGCGGACGGGUGAGUAAUGUCUGGGAAACUGCCUGAUGGAGGGGGAUAACUACUGGAAACGGUAGCUAAUACCGCAUAACGUCGCAAGACCAAAGAGGGGGACCUUCGGGCCUCUUGCCAUCAGAUGUGCCCAGAUGGGAUUAGCUAGUAGGUGGGGUAAUGGCUCACCUAGGCGACGAUCCCUAGCUGGUCUGAGAGGAUGACCAGCCAGACUGGAACUGAGACACGGUCCAGACUCCUACGGGAGGCAGCAGUGGGGAAUAUUGCACAAGGGGCGCAAGCCUGAUGCAGCCAUGCCGCGUGUGUGAAGAAGGCCUUCGGGUUGUAAAGCACUUUCAGCGAGGAGGAAGGUGGUGAGCUUAAUACGUUCAUCAAUUGACGUUACUCGCAGAAGAAGCACCGGCUAACUCCGUG
rnacentral:rRNA from 1 species